GAACUACUCCCUCUGUCCCAAAAUUCUUGUCUUAGAUUUGUCUAGAUAUGGAUGUAUCUAAUAAUAAAAUGUGACUUGAUACAUCCGUAUCUAGAGAAAUCUAAGACAAGAAUUUUGGGACGGAGGGAGUACUUU
rnacentral:pre_miRNA from 1 species